rnacentral:tRNA from 2 species
GCCCAGGUAGUUCAGUGGCAGAACGCAAUCUUGGUAAGAUUGAAGUCGAGGGUUCGAUUCCCUCUCUGGGCU